CCUGGUGAGUGCAUGAGUAUUUGACCCUUGCCUACAGAUAGAAGCACCAGCUUGCUGGGUGGAUUAGUGGCGAACGGGUGAGUAACACGUGAGUAACCUGCCCCUGACUCUGGGAUAAGCGUUGGAAACGACGUCUAAUACUGGAUACGACUGCCGGCCGCAUGGUCUGGUGGUGGAAAGAUUUUUUGGUUGGGGAUGGACUCGCGGCCUAUCAGCUUGUUGGUGAGGUAAUGGCUCACCAAGGCGACGACGGGUAGCCGGCCUGAGAGGGUGACCGGCCACACUGGGACUGAGACACGGCCCAGACUCCUACGGGAGGCAGCAGUGGGGAAUAUUGCACAAUGGGCGAAAGCCUGAUGCAGCAACGCCGCGUGAGGGAUGACGGCCUUCGGGUUGUAAACCUCUUUUAGUAGGGAAGAAGCGAAAGUGACGGUACCUGCAGAAAAAGCACCGGCUAACUACGUGCCAGCAGCCCGCGGUAAUACGUAGGGUGCAAGCGUUGUCCGGAAUUAUUGGGCGUAAAGAGCUCGUAGGCGGUUUGUCGCGUCUGCUGUGAAAUCCCGAGGCUCAACCUCGGGCUUGCAGUGGCUACGGCAGACUAGAGUGCGGUAGGGGAGAUUGGAAUUCCUGGUGUAGCGGG
rnacentral:rRNA from 1 species